ACAAUGGCGUCGGUAAAGACGUGAUGUUGACUGCUGUAAACAGACGUGUAUUAAGAUUUACGAUUUAAACAGCCUUGUACAUUGCUCCUGAGGUUGGGUUUGACUAUUCUGAGGCUAUAUGACUUGCAUAAGGAGAUUGUGGUGUGGGUUCUUGCUUGAAGACUCAGGUUGGAGCAAAACUGUGCAGAGCUGCGGUACUCCAAGAAUUGACUUUGACACCUAUGCCUUAAUAGAACGGGGUUGGACCCCAUUUGCCUUCAGAACUGCCAUAAUUCUUCGUGGCAUAGAUUC
rnacentral:lncRNA from 1 species